rnacentral:rRNA from 1 species
GGGCCCGCACAAGCGGUGGAGCAUGUGGUUUAAUUCGACGCAACGCGCAGAACCUUACCAGGCCUUGACAUCCUACGCGACCUCGAGAGAUCGAGGGUUCCCUUCGGGGACGUAGAGACAGGUGCUGCAUGGCUGUCGUCAGCUCGUGUCGUGAGAUGUUGGGUUAAGUCCCGCAACGAGCGCAACCCUCGCCUUUAGUUGCCAUCAUUCAGUUGGGCACUCUAGAGGGACUGCCGGUGACAAGCCGGAGGAAGGUGGGGAUGACGUCAAGUCCUCAUGGCCCUUACGGCCUGGGCUACACACGUGCUACAAUGGCGGUGACAGAGAGCAGCGACUUGGCGACAGGUAGCCAAUCUCAAAAAACCGUCUCAGUUCAGAUUGCACUCUGCAACUCGGGUGCAUGAAGGUGGAAUCGCUAGUAAUCGCAGAACAGCAGGCUGCGGUGAAUACGUUCCCGGGCCUU